rnacentral:rRNA from 1 species
CUCCUUUGACGUUAGCGGCGGACGGGUGAGUAACACGUGGGUAACCUACCUAUAAGACUGGGAUAACUUCGGGAAACCGGAGCUAAUACCGGAUAAUAUUUCGAACCGCAUGGUUCGAUAGUGAAAGGUGGUUUUGCUAUCACUUAUAGAUGGACCCGCGCCGUAUUAGCUAGUUGGUAAGGUAACGGCUUACCAAGGCGACGAUACGUAGCCGACCUGAGAGGGUGAUCGGCAACACUGGAACUGAGACACGGUCCAGACUCCUACGGGAGGCAGCAGUG